rnacentral:tRNA from 2 species
UUGCCGUAGGCGGCGGUCCAGGUGCCCUCGGCGCGUGUCCCGCUGCUGGCGAACUGACCCAUGUUCCACUCGUAGGCGGCGUU